rnacentral:rRNA from 1 species
CCUACGGGAGGCUGCAGUGAGGAAUAUUGGUCAAUGGACGAGAGUCUGAACCAGCCAAGUAGCGUGAAGGAUGACUGCCCUAUGGGUUGUAAACUUCUUUUAUAUGGGAAUAAAAUGUUCCACGUGUGGGAUUUUGUAUGUACCCUAUGAAUAAGGAUCGGCUAACUCCGUGCCAGCAGCCGCGGUAAUACGGAGGAUCCGAGCGUUAUCCGGAUUUAUUGGGUUUUAAGGGAGCGUAGGUGGGUUGUUAAGUCAGUUGUGAAAGUUUGCGGCUCAACCGUAAAAUUGCAGUUGAAACUGGCAGUCUGGAGUACAGUAGAGGUGGGCGGAAUGCGUGGUGUAGCGGUGAAAUGCUUAGAUAUCACGAAGAACUCCGAUUGCGAAGGCAGCUCACUGGACUGCAACUGACACUGAGGCUCGAAAGUGUGGGUAUCAAACAGGAUUAGAUACCCCGGUAGUC